AUUGAACGCUGGCGGCAGGCCUAACACAUGCAAGUCGAACGAGUGGCGGACGGGUGAGUAGUGUCUGGGAAACCGCCUGAUGGAGGGGGAACACUACUGGAAACGGUAGCUAAUACCGCAUACCAUCGGAUACGCCCAGAGGGGAUUAGCUAGUAGGUGGGGUAAAGGCUCACCUAGGCGACGAGCCCUAGCUGGUCUGAGAGGAUGACCAGCCACACUGGAACUGAGACACGGUCCAGACUCCUACGGGAGGCAGCAGUGGGGAAUAUUGCACAAUGGGCGCAAGCCUGAUGCAGCCAUGCCGCGUGUAUGAAGAAGGCCUUCGGGUUGUAAAGUACUUUCAGCGGGGAGGCGUUACCCGCAGAAGAAGCACCGGCUAACUCCGUGCCAGCAGCCGCGGUAAUUC
rnacentral:rRNA from 1 species